rnacentral:tRNA from 1 species
GGGCGGGUGGCGGAACGGCAGACGCGCACGGUUCAGGUCCGUGUGUCCGAGAGGAUGUGAGGGUUCAAAUCCCUCUCCGCCCACAA